GUCGAACGAAACUUCUUUAUCACCGAGUGCUUGCACUCACCGAUAAAGAGUUGAGUGGCGAACGGGUGAGUAACACGUGGGCAACCUGCCCGAAAGAGGGGGAUAACACUUGGAAACAGGUGCUAAUACCGCAUAACCAUAGUUACCGCAUGGUAACUAUGUAAAAGGUGGCUAUGCUACCGCUUUUGGAUGGGCCCGCGGCGCAUUAGCUAGUUGGUGAGGUAAAGGCUUACCAAGGCAAUGAUGCGUAGCCGAACUGAGAGGUUGAUCGGCCACAUUGGGACUGAGACACGGCCCAAACUCCUACGGGAGGCAGCAGUAGGGAAUCCUCCACAAUGGGCGAAAGCCUGAUGGAGCAACGCCGCGUGGGUGAAGAAGGUCUUCGGAUCGUAAAACCCUGUUGUUAGAGAAGAAAGUGCGUGAGAGUAACUGUUCACGUUUCGACGGUAUCUAACCAGAAAGCCACGGCUAACUACGUGCCAGCAGCCGCGGUAAUACGUAGGUGGCAAGCGUUAUCCGGAUUUAUUGGGCGUAAAGGGAACGCAGGCGGUCUUUUAAGUCUGAUGUGAAAGCCUUCGGCUUAACCGGAGUAGUGCAUUGGAAACUGGG
rnacentral:rRNA from 1 species